rnacentral:rRNA from 1 species
UACGUAGGGUGCAAGCGUUGUCCGGAAUUAUUGGGCGUAAAGAGCUCGUAGGCGGUCUGUCACGUCGGAUGUGAAAAUCCAGGGCUUAACCCUGGACCUGCAUUCGAUACGGGCAGACUAGAGUUCGGUAGGGGAGACGUGGAAUUCCUGGUGUAGCGGUGAAAUGCGCAGAUAUCAGGAGGAACACCGGUGGCGAAGGCGGAUCUCUGGGCCAUUACUGACGCUGAGGAGCGAAAGCGUGGGGAGCGAACAGG